AGAGUUUGAUCCUGGCUCAGAGCGAACGCUGGCGGCAGGCUUAACACAUGCAAGUCGAGCGCCCCGCAAGGGGAGCGGCAGACGGGUGAGUAACACGUGGGAACGUGCCUUUUGGUUCGGAACAACCCAGGGAAACUUGGGCUAAUACCGGAUAAGCCCUUACGGGGAAAGAUUUAUCGCCAAAAGAUCGGCCCGCGUCUGAUUAGCUAGUUGGUGGGGUAAUGGCCCACCAAGGCUACGAUCAGUAGCUGGUCUGAGAGGAUGAUCAGCCACAUUGGGACUGAGACACGGCCCAAACUCCUACGGGAGGCAGCAGUGGGGAAUAUUGGACAAUGGGCGCAAGCCUGAUCCAGCCAUGCCGCGUGAGUGAUGAAGGCCUUAGGGUUGUAAAGCUCUUUUAGCAGGGAAGAUAAUGACGGUACCUGCAGAAAAAGCCCCGGCUAACUUCGUGCCAGCAGCCGCGGUAAUACGAAGGGGGCUAGCGUUGCUCGGAAUCACUGGGCGUAAAGCGCACGUAGGCGGCUUCUUAAGUCAGGGGUGAAAUCCUGGAGCUCAACUCCAGAACUGCCUUUGAUACUGAGGAGCUUGAGUCCGGGAGAGGUGAGUGGAACUGCGAGUGUAGAGGUGAAAUUCGUAGAUAUUCGCAAGAACACCAGUGGCGAAGGCGGCUCACUGGCCCGGUACUGACGCUGAGGUGCGGAAAGCGUGGGGAGCAAACAGGAUUAGAUACCCCUGUAGUCC
rnacentral:rRNA from 1 species